AUAAAAAUUACCUGGGGAUCUUGUUAGAAUGUACAUUCUGAUUCAGUAUAUCUGAGGGUGAAAUGCCAAUUUCCAGCAGGGAUUCAAACCAGAAGGAACCAGUUCAAAGAGCUGAAGUUUCUCCCGGGGGUUCAACCCAGUUCCUUCAGGUUCAAACCCCCGCUGAGAAUUUGCAUUUCUAACAAGUUCUCAAGUAAUGCUAAU
rnacentral:pre_miRNA from 1 species